AGCUGGUUCUUUUGCUAUUGCAAAAAUUCAACCAAGAGAUAGGAAAAUGGGUCAACAGCAACAACAAAUUCAUGGAGACUGCAGCAAAAGAUUAUUUGACAGACUUUCUUCCCUUAUAUGGAAAAGAGAGCUGUUCUCCUUUUUGAACCAUAUUCCCCUAAAUACCCUCACAAUCUUCUUAGGCCUCUCACUCCUUCAUUUUCUUUUCUAGCCCCUCCAUCUCAUCCUUAUUUUGAAUUCAGAUGAGUUAAUACAGUUUGAUGGCCUAGUUCAGAUUCUAGAAAGGGACAGCUAUUCAGAGAUGAUAGUGACGUGCUUUUCUCUUCUCAUAUUGCUUCUCUUUAAAGAAUUUACAGGACCUCUGCCUACAUUUACAUCUCAAGAGAAUAGUUUCAUCUGGUGUCACAUCCUUGCCAAAAUUUAUUGAGAAUAUUGGUAAAGGACAACAUAUUUACAAGGAUUUCUUUAUUAAAAACUGGGGAGAUUGGCAAGUGACACUGUCACUAAAUAAAUAAAAAUAAAAACUGAGAAGAGCAAUAACAUUUGAUUUGCUAUUUCCCAGUCUAGGGAAGAAUAUCAAGUCAAACUUUAUGAAGUCCGAGACAAUGGGAAAAGGCGAGGUAUUCCUGUCCAGGCCCUCUUCAAGUUAGAAGCACUGAAACUUUAUUUAUAAUAGUACGAAUGAGACUGGUAUGAGCAGGGAAGAGCCAGCAGAUCGGUCUGGCUGGAGCGUAUCAUACGAGGGGAGCAUAAUGGGCAAGGAAGCCAAAGAGGAGGCAGGAGCUCGAUCGUUCAUCACGCAGUCUUGAAGGCAAGGUCCACAGGGCCUGAAAAUUGCUUCCAGCAACUGACAAGUUCAUCCCCUUCCAACUGGUCUGACAAACCCUGAGGAAAAAAGACAGUGAUAUCCACCCCCCCACUGCGCCCCCACCUCCUUAACUGUAAAAUUGUCCAUCUCAUCUUGGACUAUCCGAAAACCAACAUGGGACUACACAAAACCGCUACUUGAAGAUCAGCACCAAAAGAGUUGUUUGUGGAAAAUGGUUGACCAGGGUCAAUGUCAUGUGUAGAUGUGCAAGAAACUGCCUACCUUCUAGUCUCCGCUUAUCUACAUGUGUAUAGGAGAUGUUGGAAAUUUCUUUUUGGACUGAUUCUUUGAAGCCUUACCUCCUUGCAUAGUCCUGAUAGAAUAACAAAUGAGGUUCCCAAUGUUGGGUGAGAAGAGUGGGUUUCAAGAGUCAUUCACACACUGCAUUCUGCCUUCCAGAGGCAGUGAGGGGCAAGAAUAAGAGAAGGAUCAUGGGCUUUGGGGUUAGCCAGGACUACACCCAAAUUUCUGCUGGGCUUGGUACUAGUUGGGUCCUGGAGCAUGAUGCGUUCUUCCCCGUUAAGGUUUUUUUUUUUUUUUUUUUUUUUUUUUGGUCUGAUCUGGUAGCCUGCAGUAAAUGGUUGCUCCCUUGGCCUUAGGAUUUAUAGCCUGUGACCAGUUACCAGAUUAUCUCACCACUGAAUGCCUAGAUAGUAUUGUGUAUAAUGAAAGCAAGUACGGUUAUUAACACUUGAAGCUUUUUAACCAUAGUAUUUCUUGGUUCAAAGCAAAGAAACCGGAUCCACCUAUUUAGUUUUGCAUGACUGGUACACAUAUCUAUAAUAUUGAGAGGAGGGGCCAGCUGGGCUUCCUGGGUCAAGUAGGGGCUCAGGAAUCUGUGAAACUCACUCAUUUCCUGCAUCAGGACUGACUUCGGUCCUGGAUGAAUAAUAUUGAAGAUAUAUGCUUAAAAUAUUCCUAACACCAGGAUGUGUGUAUGUGUUUUCUUCCCCAAGAAAGGUAUAAACGACGAUAAUUUUGCUGUAAGUUUCCCUGUGUCCUCUCUCCCUCUCUCCCUUCCCCCUCCCCUAAAACUAAAAGGAAUGUUAAAUGCCUGUUUUCUGUGACCAGCGGACCUUAUCUAUGCUCCUAAUUCCAUUUCCUUGUAAACAUACUUUGUAAAGUCCUGUGAGAUCCUGUCUCCUUUGCCAUGCCACUACAAGGUCAUAAAGUAGAUAAAACCUAAGUUGCAAUUCUGGUUUUCCUCAAAAUCUAAAACAUGUCACACAAUAAAAUAAUUUACUGCCUUUGUUUCUAGCUCUGGUAACAUCUUCCCUCGGCAGGCACGUAUAUCCCGCCUUAAAGAGUUUAAAAGGCAACUGCAUAAUCUAACUCUGGCUACCCGCUGGGGACCCCUUCCACGCUGUGAAAGCUUUGUACUGUCACUCUGCUCAAUAAAGCCUA